rnacentral:lncRNA from 1 species
ACAAAUUAACAAAGAUAACACGAAAAAAUAAUCACAAAUGGAAACUGAAAACCGCGUUACGUUAAUGGUUCUCGUUAAUAUAAUUUGUAAGAAAAAAACUUAUGCUGAUUAAAUGGAUCAGUGCCAUCAGAGCCACGUGAAAUCAGAUGGUCUUUUAGUAUUUAUGAGAAUUGUUGUUGACACAUUGCAUAAGGUUGGGGCACACGAGUAAUUUACGUUUU